rnacentral:pre_miRNA from 1 species
UGUUUGCUUUUAAGAACUUUUAAUCACAUUUGUUUUUCUUCUUCUCAUAUUAGAGUCUCCGAUAGAAGUCGACAAAGACAUUGGAAGGCUUAUAGGCAAGGC